rnacentral:rRNA from 1 species
GAUGAACGCUGGCGGCGUGCCUAAUACAUGCAAGUCGAGCGAACGGACGAGAAGCUUGCUUCUCUGAUGUUAGCGGCGGACGGGUGAGUAACACGUGGAUAACCUACCUAUAAGACUGGGAUAACUUCGGGAAACCGGAGCUAAUACCGGAUAAUAUUAUGAACCGCAUGGUUCAAAAGUGAAAGACGGUCUUGCUGUCACUUAUAGAUGGAUCCGCGCUGCAUUAGCUAGUUGGUAAGGUAACGGCUUACCAAGGCAACGAUGCAUAGCCGACCUGAGAGGGUGAUCGGCCACACUGGGACUGAGACACGGUCCAGACUCCUACGGGAGGCAGCAGUAGGGAAUCUUCCGCAAUGGGCGAAAGCCUGACGGAGCAACGCCGCGUGAGUGAUGAAGGUCUUCGGAUCGUAAAACUCUGUUAUUAGGGAAGAACAUAUGUGUAAGUAACUGUGCACAUCUUGACGGUACCUAAUCAGAAAGCCACGGCUAACUACGUG